rnacentral:misc_RNA from 1 species
GAUGAAGAACGCAGCGAAAUGCGAUAAGUAAUGUGAAUUGCAGAAUUCAGUGAAUCAUCGAAUCUUUGAACGCACAUUGCGCCCCUUGGUAUUCCGAGGGGCAUGCCUGUUCGAGCGUCAUUAUAACCCCUCAAGCUCAGCUUGGUGUUGGGGCCUGCUGCACUGGCAGCCCUUAAAAUCAGUGGCGGCGCCAUCUGGCUCUAAGCGUAGUAAUUCUUCUCGCUAUGGAGUCCUGGUGGUGUCUUGCCAGAACCCCUCAUUUUUUAUGAUUGACCUCGGAUCAGGUAGGGAUACCCGCUGAACUUAAGCAUAUCAAUAAGCGGAGGA